rnacentral:lncRNA from 1 species
UCCUGUGUAAUGUUAACAGCCUAUCUAUACCCAGGAAGGGGUGGGGCCUCAUGACCUCCUCCCCAUUCUCCAUGGUGAACCCAAUCUGGUGUGGGUCUCAUGUAGGUGAUCACAGCUACUGAGAGCUCAAGAGAGCAAAGGCCAGUAAGCCUUCACUUCUGCCAAGAUGAUGACUAUGGUAAUUUGGGUUUUGUGUACAUUGUAAUAUAAGGAGGUGCUUCCAUCCUGUGGAUUCCUGCUCAUCUCUGUUUCCUGCUCAUUCCUGCUCUCCUCUGCAUACAGAGGAGUAUCCCAGCUGGCAAAGUCUACAUGUGUCUACAUUCAUGUAUCUGCUUCCUGGAAGACACACCCACCUCCACUCCCAGUCAUCAGUCAUGAUGGGGUUUACAACCAAGUUUAUGAAAGAGAAGUGGAAGCUGGAAACCAGGAUACUGAGAACAGCAGAGAAAUCAGCAGCAGGAAAAACAGGGUGAAUCAACUCAUCUGCAUAAAGGAAGGCCAGAUGAGCAAAAGACAGGCACCUUACAAUGCUAGAAGGAACAUAUUAAGUUGGCUACAGCUAUGAUUGAAGCACCCCUAAAAGUAUCAAAAUAUGUCAUUCAUGAAGACACAAGCUCUCCAGAGUCUUCACCUUUUAAAGUGCUAAAAAAGAAGUUCUGGACCCAAAACCAUCCAAGUUUUCAUCCAAUUCAGCUUCAAAGUAAAGAAUGAGGUCCUCAGUGUACCAGGAUGGAACCCAGAGCCUUGAAGAUGAUUGGCAAAUGCUCUAUCCAUGAGCUGUACCUGCAGCCCCACAUGUCAAGAUACAGAAUACCUUUGGGGAGUCCUAGAGGGUUUCUGCCCAGCCUAUCAGCCAAGCUCUGAGACUUCUUCCUUGACCAAAAGUUUGCAGAAGGCUGAGUCGCGUGUAUACACUGAGGCAAAAUAAAUAAAUAAAAUGGC